AACGAACGCUGGCGGCAUGCCUAACACAUGCAAGUCGAACGAGACCUUCGGGUCUAGUGGCGCACGGGUGCGUAACGCGUGGUAACCUGCCCUUAGGUUCGGAAUAACUCUCCGAAAGGGGUGCUAAUACCGGAUAAUGUCUUCGGACCAAAGAUUUAUCGCCUUUGGAUGGGCCCGCGUUGGAUUAGCUAGUUGGUAGGGUAAAAGCCUACCAAGGCGACGAUCCAUAGCUGGUCUGAGAGGAUGAUCAGCCACACUGGGACUGAGACACGGCCCAGACUCCUACGGGAGGCAGCAGUGGGGAAUAUUGGACAAUGGGCGAAAGCCUGAUCCAGCAAUGCCGCGUGAGUGAUGAAGGCCUUAGGGUUGUAAAGCUCUUUUACCCGGGAUGAUAAUGACAGUACCGGGAGAAUAAGCUCCGGCUAACUCCGUG
rnacentral:rRNA from 1 species